rnacentral:rRNA from 1 species
GACGUAGGGGGCCGGCGUUGUUCGGAAUUACUGGGUGUAAAGGGUUCGUAGGCGGUGUGGCAAGUCGGGAGUGAAAUCUCUGGGCUCAACUCAGAGACUGCUUCCGAAACUGCUGUGCUGGAGUGUGGGAGAGGCGCGUGGAAUUGCAGGUGUAGCGGUGAAAUGCGUAGAUAUCUGCAGGAACACCCGUGGCGAAAGCGGCGCGCUGGACCACUACUGACGCUGAGGAACGAAAGCUAGGGGAGCAAACAGG